AGGCAACUACCUUCCAUAUUUAAAUUGGUUUUGGUAGUGUUGAUCUGCUCGUAUAUCAUUAUCUUUUGCUCUUCAGACUUACUGACUAUUCACUUGAAGUUGGUCUAGUAAGCUCAAGGACAUU